AGUGAACGCUGGCGGUGGGCCUAACACAUGCAAGUCGAACGGCAGCACAGUAAGAGCUUGCUCUUACGGGUGGCGAGUGGCGGACGGGUGAGGAAUACAUCGGAAUCUACUUUUUCGUGGGGGAUAACGUAGGGAAACUUACGCUAAUACCGCAUACGACCUACGGGUGAAAGCAGGGGAUCUUCGGACCUUGCGCGAUUGAAUGAGCCGAUGUCGGAUUAGCUAGUUGGCGGGGUAAAGGCCCACCAAGGCGACGAUCCGUAGCUGGUCUGAGAGGAUGAUCAGCCACACUGGAACUGAGACACGGUCCAGACUCCUACGGGAGGCAGCAGUGGGGAAUAUUGGACAAUGGGCGCAAGCCUGAUCCAGCCAUACCGCGUGGGUGAAGAAGGCCUUCGGGUUGUAAAGCCCUUUUGUUGGGAAAGAAAAGCAGCAGGUUAAUACCCCGCUGUUCUGACGGUACCCAAAGAAUAAGCGCCGGCUAACUUCGUG
rnacentral:rRNA from 1 species